rnacentral:rRNA from 1 species
AGGACGAACGCUGGCGGCGUGCUUAACACAUGCAAGUCGAACGGUAAGGCCCCUUCGGGGGUACACGAGUGGCGAACGGGUGAGUAACACGUGAGCAACCUGCCUCUGACUUCGGGAUAACAGUUGGAAACAGCUGCUAAUACCGGAUAUGCAUCGCAUCUCUCCUGGGGUGUGGUGGAAAGCUCCGGCGGUCAGGGAUGGGCUCGCGGCCUACCAGCUUGUUGGUGAGGUGAUGGCUCACCAAGGCUUCGACGGGUA